AAUAGCCGCAAGGCUUAGAAGGGGAAUGGUGAGAAAAAAUCGUAUAAAAGGAGAGAGAAAAGUGCGAAGGAAAAUCAGUCGAGUGUGAAUCUCCGGCACGGCAACAGUUGCAGUGCACUCUGUCACCAACUGCCAUCUUCAUCGUACCAAAUUCGCUAUCAUGGUGGUGCUGCAAUUUGCUAGUGGUGUUUUAUCGUUGAUGGCUGUGCUGACCACUGGUGUACCGAUGUCUCCUGGGUAUGGCGGAUACCAAACCGCAACUCCGCCGCCUCCCACACAACAACAACAUACGCAACAAUCGGUUACUACACCACCAAGGCUGAGUACUACCACAACUUAAAAUGCCCUGAGCUACUACAAGGCAACAACUGCAUUGCCCUAUCACUGCAUUCCUCAUCGUGUAAACGAUUCGCAAUAAUGGUUAAAGUCGUGCUGCUGUUGGGCGCUGUAUGGUUGGGUCGACCACUGACUGGUGUACCGAUGUCUCCUGGGUAUAGCGGAUACCAAACCAAAACCCCGCCGCCUUACUAAAAAACAACUUUACGACCAGUUACUACACCGACACCCCCAAGUACUACACCACUAAGUCACCGGAGUAUGAUGCCAUAACUUACGCUUCCCCGAGCUACUACACCGAUGCCCCGAAUUAUUACUCUGCCUCAAGCUACACCACCAAGGCAGCGGAGUACUACACGACUACACCGAGGCUCCAGCUACUACACCGAGGCUCCAGCUACUACACCGAGGCUCCAGCUACUACACCGAGGCUCCAGCUACU